GAUCCUGGCUCAGGAUGAACGCUAGCGACAGGCUUAACACAUGCAAGUCGAGGGGCAGCGGGGGUAGCAAUACCCGCCGGCGACCGGCGCACGGGUGAGUAACGCGUAUGCAACUUACCUAUCAGAGGGGGAUAACCCGGCGAAAGUCGGACUAAUACCGCAUGAAGCAGGGGUCCCGCAUGGGGAUAUUUGCUAAAGAUUCAUCGCUGAUAGAUAGACAUGCGUUCCAUUAGGCAGG
rnacentral:rRNA from 1 species